GCCUCCGUGGCACAAUGGUUAGCGCGUGGGCCUUUUAUACACUCUCUGUGAAUAUAAAGCCCAAGGUUGUGGGUUCGAGACCCACCGGGGGCG